CAGAAAAGCGAAAAAGGAGACCGAGUCUCAUGGUUUUGUGAAAACUUUAACUAGCCUAAUGCAUUUCAGCUGAGGGCAAAGGUUCAGGGACAAAGGUUCGAUUGUGAAAAGGUCUCUUGGAAACACCACAAAUAGGGCCCAAAGCUGCUCACAAAUUAAAACCACCAACAAAAAUAAUAAAACAGCAGCAGCAAAAUCAAAACCAAAGCAAGGACUGAAGCAGCAGUCGUGUUUCAUUGGAACAAGGGCCAGGUGGACCAACAGAAUGAACAAAUAACUGCAGCAGACAAAUAUGGAAGAGCCUACCUAUGUCAAGGCGUGAAGUGGGCAGAAAGUUGGCUGGUGGACAUGGACACACACACCAACGAAGAGGAAGAACCAGCUUUACAAGGUCCUGUGGUAAACUUCUGGUGGUGACAGACUCCCCAAUCUGACUACUUCCCACACUCAUUUGGCAGGAGAAUGGAUUACAAGGAACCUGUUACCACAAACACUGAAGGGUGAUUUAUGGCCCAAGCUCAGUACUACCCCCUUUUCCAUAACCCUGUAAGUUACAUACGUUUAUUUUGUUGUGCUUCUGUUUGUGAACUGUGCUGGUC